UACGAGGGGGGCAAGCGUUGUUCGGAAUUAUUGGGCGUAAAGAGCGUGUAGGCGGCCAGGUAGGUCUGCUGUGAAAACUCGAGGCUCAACCUCGAGAUGUCGGCGGAAACCAUCUGGCUAGAGUCCGGAAGAGGAGAAUGGAAUUCCCGGUGUAGCGGUGAAAUGCGCAGAUAUCGGGAAGAACACCCGUGGCGAAGGCGGUUCUCUGGGACGGUACUGACGCUGAGACGCGAAAGCGUGGGGAGCGAACAGG
rnacentral:rRNA from 1 species